AUUUAUAUAGUUUAAUCAAUUAAAACCUUACAUUUUCAUUGUAAAAUUAGAUAUAAUUCUUAUAAAUA
rnacentral:tRNA from 1 species